rnacentral:rRNA from 1 species
CCUACGGGAGGCAGCAGUUAGGAAUAUUGGUCAAUGGGCUUACGCCUGAACCAGCCAAGUCGCGUGAGGGAAGACUGCCCUAUGGGUUGUAAACCUCUUUUGUCAGGGAGCAACGCCGGCUACGUGUAGCCGGACUGAGGGUACCUGAAGAAAAAGCAUCGGCUAACUCCUUGCCAGCAGCCGCGUUAAUACGGAGGAUGCGAGCGUUGUCCGGAAUUACUGGGCGUAAAGGGCGCGUAGGUGGGCGCUUAAGUCAGGUGUGAAAACUCCGGGACCAACCUGGAGACUGCAGUUGAAACUGGGUGUCUUGAGGGCAGGAGAGGAAAGUGGAAUUCGUGGUGUAGCGGUGAAAUGCGUAGAUAUUAGGAGGAACACCGGUGGCGAAGGCGACUUUCUGGACUGUACCUGACGCUGAGGCGCGAAAGCGUGGGUAGCGAACGGGAUUAGAUACCCUAGUAGUC